UCUUUAGAAACUUUGUCUGGACCAAGAUGAUGGGAAAAAGAGAAUGAAAUGCCAAUAACUCAAAUGUUAUAUUUCCAGAUCUUCUGGACUACAUGCAUAUGCUCCCAAGCUAUUAGCAUCAGAGCAUGUUGAUGAUGAUCACAUUUAGAGUUCGUUUCCCUCCAAAUUUCACUUGAACUUUCAUUUCCAAUACCAUCGACGUAUUCUUUCAUAGGAACAGUUUUGGAGGGUAGCCUUGACUUCAUUAUACACUCACAAAUAAAUGGGUGGGGUUGUUUAGGUCAUGUAUUCUACCGUUAUUUAUUGGGAUACAAAAUAAUUUAUUCCUCAAAUUUAAGAUGGUAUCAAAGAAGUAGAACCCUAGCAAUCUCUAGAAAAACCUUGAAAAUUUCAUUCACUGUUUUGCUAGAAACCUAGCCCGCUCUCUAAAUCUUUGCACCCUACCUCCAGCAUCAAUGUCUCUUAUGCGUCUGUUUCGACAUAAGAUUUUUCAACAUUCACACUCUGUUUUACCAUUCAUUUUCGUUCGGCCUAUUCUUUAAUAGGUCGCCCAUUGCUGAUCUGUCUCCUCCUAGACGAGUUUGCAACAUCCAUCUGCCACUCGUGGGUUUGUCCCAUCACCACUUAUCUAGUACAGUCCUUUAGCUCCUUUUUUUGAAAAGGAGACAAACUUCUUUAUUAUUAGAGAUCUAUACAAUGAGAAUAAUACGGAAGCCAAGAAAAGAGGGAGAGAAAGAGAGAAAGGAUCAGUAGGUGCACCCGGACAUCUCAACUAAGUUGACACCCCCAUAGCACCCUCAUCAUAUCCAUAAUACAAAGAAAAGACCAAAAUACAAGAACAAUACUAAGGUCAUGAAAAGACCAAAAUAACUACAAAAGCUACCUAUGGUAGACUAAAGCAAGGCUGAAAGGAAAAAAAAAACGGUAGAAA